rnacentral:rRNA from 1 species
GAUAGUUUUUUUUUCUAUUAAUUAUUACGGUUUUGUGCCUUUUGCAUCAUGCUAUGGCGAAUCAAUGGUUAAUACCUGUAACCGAAAACCGCGGAUCUUAUUAAUUGCUUUUUAGUUUAUGUCAGGUAGACUCUUCUUUAGAUUUUUAAUACGUUGUGAUAAGUUAGACGGCGCGGUUUAUAGCUGUUUUACGGCUUAUUAUUUUAGUUUAUCUCUUUGGCGAGGAUGUCGGAGUGAAUAGUAUAUAUGUGGACUAUCAUUAUAUUAAGCGAGGGUUAAAAUUACCCUACUUUAAAGAUAAUGUUAAAAUUCUUUUUAGUUGUAUUGGAUAUUACUUUUAGUGGCCGUACUUUAAACUAACUGCUAUUGUUUAUGCUUUAAUAAGUAAUAUUAUUCUUUAUAUUGUUUCUCAAGUUUUACCCGUCUGUUUAUUAAAAACAUUUCUAUAUUUUAUUUUAUAUAGUAGUACCUGCUCUAUGUUUAUUUAUAAAUGGCCGCAGUAUCUUGACUGUGCGAAGGUAGCAUAAUUAAUUGCCUUAUAAUUGAAGGCUUGUUUGAAUGGUUUGACGUGGUAAAUACAAACAUUAGGAAGUUUAUUGAAAUUAUUAUGGGGGGCACAGAAACCCCCUAUGUUAAUUAGACGGAAAGACCCCGGGAUCUUUUAAUUUUGUCUGGGGCAGAUAGGAAUGUUUCAUUCAUAUUAUGACCCUUUAGGGUUAGUGAUUUAAGUUACCCCGGGGAUAACAGUGUAAUAGUCUAAUAGAGAUCUUAUCGAUUAGACUGCUUGUUACCUCGAUGUUGACUUAGGCUUCUUACUAGGCGCAGUAGUUUAGUUUUUAGGUCUGUUCGACCUUGUAGCCUCCAUGAGUUGAGUUAAGACCGGUGUAAGCCAGGUCGGUUCUUAUCUAUUAUUCUAGCUUAUUAGUACGAAAGGACCGUAAGUUGUUUUGUU